GACGCGCACUGUAUAGCUGCAUAAGCUGCUCGUAGGGCACGUCCAGCAUCUGGUCCAGGCCCACACCGCGAAAAAAAGGUUUACCACAGUGGCUCAAGGAAAACGGAACCAGAGUAAGACAGUUUCUACUUGGACUUGGGGAACCAGCAAACUCAUUCACUUACAAUCAAGAACAAACCGAUUAAAUUGAAUAAAGGUCACUCAAAGGAGCCAAGCCCCUUUGUCAAAUCAGGAGCUCCAUCAGCCAAUCAGGAACCCAGAUGCCAGCGUGGGAGUUUGUCAGUGGAAAUAACAUUGCAUGACUUCCAAGUCUGGGUAAAGUGGAGUCAGAAGAAGAACCAAACGCUGAUUCGAACAUCUGGUAGAUGGAUCAUAAUUACAGCAGAGUUGCUGGGCAGAUAAGGCUGAAGACACGUAGAAGAAAACAACUAUUGGGUGAAUUUUGUGAGCAUUGAAAUGACACAGCACAGGGGAGCUAUAAAGGGGAGUUAUGACUUUGUUCCUGUUUUUAAAUCCACACUUUGCUGGUUCAAGAAUUGCUUUAAGAUCAUACUUUUGAUCUUCCGUGCACUCCUGAAGUAGGAAAAACACUGACUAGAAGGUCAAAGUCAUAAUACUACUGUAUGGUUGAUUUGAGGGGACUUCCUAGCUGUCCACCCAGUGCAUGAAUUCUUCUCUGCAACAUCCAUAUGUAAUGGCUAUCUGUGUUUUCUUUUGACUUCCUUCAGUGAUGUGAAACUUACCCUGAAUGAGACCUUCUUCUCCUAGGAAUACAAAAAGUUAAUAAUAAUAAUAAUAAUAGUUAUUAUCAAUUUAGCAUUUAUUAAAUACCAGACAUUGGAAUACAACCUUUACCUGCAUGUCGUUUAAAUUCAUUCUAAGUAUUAUCAACCCAUUUUAGAGAUGAAGUAAUCAAGACAGCAUUAAGAAACUUCCACAAGAACAGAGAACUACUUGGUUCUGUAUGAUUCUAGAGGCUGCGCUCCUAAUCUGUGUAGAAUACCACUUCCUUCAAGUAUAUACACAUUUUUAGUCUUGCAGAAUAAGCUGAUUCCACACAGGUGUCAUCUUCACUUUCUCACCUCCUGUUCCACUCCUUCUCUUCCAGGAGGCAUUUUUAGCCCAGUUUAACAUUUCUAGUUGUCAGGGCUAUUUCUCAUAUGACUUAACUUCUAUUGCCUCCUCUCUUUCCCCUGAGUAUUCUCUUAAAAUCUCGCACUCAGAACAAAAUGUAAUAAUUUUGAAGAGGUCUGGCCACUUUUCCUGGAAGCUAUACUUCUAUUUACAUGGACUGAGAUGAAAUGACCUUUGGUCUUAGGUCAUAUUUUGGAAGUGCUAAGUUGUAU
rnacentral:lncRNA from 1 species